rnacentral:rRNA from 1 species
UACAGAGGGUGCAAACGUUGUUCGGAAUUACUGGGCGUAAAGGGCGCGUAGGCGGUCUUGUAAGUCUUGUGUGAAAUCCCUCGGCUUAACUGAGGAACUGCACGAGAUACUGCAAGACUUGAGAUCGGGAGAGGGAAGCGGAAUUCCUGGUGUAGCGGUGAAAUGCGCAGAUAUCAGGAGGAACACCGGUGGCGAAGGCGGUUCUCUGGGCAUUACCUGACGCUGAGGAGCGAAAGUGUGGGGAGCGAACAGG